rnacentral:lncRNA from 10 species
ACUGGCUGCCCGGUCCCGGAUCCCCAAGGGCGACGUUUCUAUUUGGGAUCCACAACAGGUGCCUGAGAAACAAAGCCGCAGAUCGCUCCACCGCUGUGCGCAGCCCCCUGCUGAGGGGCCAGCGGCUCUCCCUGGGACCCCAGAACCUUAACACAAUUCUGAGGUGGAAGAAAUGGGGAACACCAGGCCUGGCCUCAUGGAGACCGGGGAGUCAGAACCUGAGCUCUGGCUCCUGGAGCUGCUGCGAGUGAGUGGUGGAAACCUGCCCCCUUAGAGAAGCUGCAGCUGAUCAGCAUCAUGCAAGGGACUGCUGAGAUGGUAGCAUGCUGCACAGGAACCAGCUACAGAAUUUGCAAGUGGAGAAUCCAGGUACCUUUAAAAGUCUAUUUAGUGAAAAUCUCUGGCUAUUGAUGUGACGGUUAAUUUUAUGUGCCAACUUGGCUAGGCCAUGGUACCCAGUUUUUCAUAAAAGAUCAGUCUAGAUGUUGUGAAGGUAUAUUUUUAAAUGUGAUUAACAUUUUAUUCAGUGGACUUCAAGUAAAGCAGAUUAUCCUCCAUAUAGUGGGUGGGCCUUCUCCAAUCAGGCCUUAAGAGCAAAGACCAUGGUUUCUCAAAGAAAGAAUUUUCCUCAAGACUGCAACAUAGAGACCUUGCCUGAGUUUCCAGCCUGAUACCCUGAAGAAUUUGGACUCAAGACUGCAAUAUCAGCUCUUUCCUGAAUUUCUAGCCUGCUGGCCUGCCCUACAGAUUUUAGAUCUCCCAGCCCAAUUGCAUGAGCUAAUUCCUUAAAAUAAAUAAAUCUCUGUGUGUGUAUGUGUGCUGUAACUAAUAUAUCCUAUUGGUCUGUUUCUCUGGAGAACCCUAACUAACACAAUUGUCUACCAUAUUACUGCAUAAAAGACUUAUGACUCACCUUUACUACAUUUCAGGGAAGUAGAAACACCUGCCAUAAUUCACAUUUUACAGUUUUAUGGAAAGUAGGCAGGACUUUCACCAAGCUGAGUUAGGAAGCCAGAGUGCUUCACCCAGCCCCAUAAUUAACUACCCAUACUACUACACAAGAAAAUUACUUAACAUCUUUAACUUGCUCGUAUUCUAAACGUGAAUAAUCAUACCUACUUCACUAGAUAUUAGUAUUAAA